CUUCGAGACGGACAAGUGCCCUUUUAGAAAUCAAUGAUUCACUUAUUAGUAAAAUAUUCGAAGAAUGGUUAUUCUUUCUAUUAAAAUAAGUCUCCUCAAGCUCCUUAGGAUGGAUUAAAGCCACAUGUACCAUCAAUGCAACCUAUAACACUUUGUUUCACUCACUCAAUACUCUUAUUAUUUAAAGAAAAUAAAAAAAUAUUUUAAUCGAAAAAUUGCUCAAAAUGCGAUCCUCUUGCCUGAAAGCAAGCAGUUGCUCUUAAAGCCACCUGGUUAGUGGCACGACGGAUCAUGUCAGGGUUUGCUUUUAUUUCUUCUGCCACUGACAUAAUUUUUUCUUUUAACUCCCUUGUGUUCGGC
rnacentral:misc_RNA from 1 species